AUUGAACGCUGGCGGCAGGCCUAACACAUGCAAGUCGAACGGUAGCACAGAGAGCUUGCUCUCGGGUGACGAGUGGCGGACGGGUGAGUUACAUCUGGGAAACUGCCCGAUGGAGGGGGAUAACUACUGGAAACGGUAGCUAAUACCGCAUAACGUCGCAAGACCAAAGUGGGGGACCUUCGGGCCUCACACCAUCGGAUGUGCCCAGAUGGGAUUAGCUGGUAGGUGGGGUAAUGGCUCACCUAGGCGACGAUCCCUAGCUGGUCUGAGAGGAUGACCAGCCACACUGGAACUGAGACACGGUCCAGACUCCUACGGGAGGCAGCAGUGGGGAAUAUUGCACAAUGGGCGCAAGCCUGAUGCAGCCAUGCCGCGUGUAUGAAGAAGGCCUUCGGGUUGUAAAGUACUUUCAGCGGGGAGGAAGGCGGUGAAGUUAAUAGCUUCACCGAUUGACGUUACCCGCAGAAGAAGCACCGGCUAACUCCGUGCCAGCCGCCGCAGUAA
rnacentral:rRNA from 1 species